GGCUCGUUGGUCUAGGGGUAUGAUUCCGCUUAGGGCGUGAGGUCCCGGUGCAAAUCCGGAUGAGCCC